rnacentral:rRNA from 1 species
UAUNGGACAAUGGGGGGAACCCUGAUCCAGCNACGCCGCGUGAGUGAAGAAGUAUCUCGGUAUGUAUAGCACUAUCAGCAGGGAAGAAAGCAAUGACGGUAACUGAGGAAGACGCCCCGGCUAACUACGUGCCAGCAGCCGCGGUAAUACGUAGGGGGCAAGCGUUAUCCGGAAUUACUGGGUGUAAAGGGAGCGUAGACGGUGAAGUAAGUCUGGAGUGAAAGGCGGGGGCCCAACCCCCGGACUGCUCUGGAAACUAUUUGACUGGAGUGCAGGAGAGGUAAGCGGAAUUCCUAGUGUAGCGGUGAAAUGCGUAGAUAUUAGGAGGAACACCAGUGGCGAAGGCGGCUUACUGGACUGUAACUGACGUUGAGGCUCGAAAGCGUGGGGAGCAAACAGG